rnacentral:tRNA from 1 species
GGGGGUAGAUCUCAGUGGUAGAGAGCAUGCUUAGCAUGCAGGAGGUCCUGAGUUCUAUCCCCAGUGCCUCUA